rnacentral:antisense_RNA from 1 species
GAAUGGGCAUCCCACCCCAGCACUUUCUAGGAAGGAGGGCAGCAUUUUGAAGGGCUGGAAGUAGAGGAAGGAGGUUGCGGGUAGAAGACUCCAUACUUUCUGUGAUGCCUAUUCCUUAGGAAUCAAGGCUAUCUGUAAUCACAGGGCUAUUUGAAAAAGAGAAGAAAAGGUGUCUUGAAAUUCAACCAACAUGUUUCAAUUAUUUGCUCCUAAGAACAACAGAAGUUUCAACAUUCUGCCAACAAAGUAACUCCUGGAAGAUUGGCACAGAAGAAGGCACAAGGAGAGCCUUUAUAUAACCAAAGAUAUUUUUGGACCAUGAAUUCGGAAAUUCUCGGAGCCACCCAUCAGUGCCUGAGCUUCAGUGAGUCCAUAUCCCAUGUCACCCACGGCAAAGGAGAAUCUAAGACUUCUGAAGAGUUUCUUGCUUCUUUCCUGUGGGGCAGUGACUCCACUUCCCAGCAGUAAUGGAAUAUCCUGAAUUAGCUACAUUAAUGUUAGAACCAUUUGGACCUCACCCAGGACUUCAACUACAUUAUGGUUCUAGUAUGUUAGGUUUAUGUUCCCCUGCUUUCUACAAUCCUGUUCAAAGAGUUGCUGACUUAACCACAGAGAGGAUUCCAGAACAUGAGACACAGAAUAAACUUGAGCAAUCAUAGUCCAUCCACUUCAUUUUCUCAUCAAAAACCAAAGGUCCAGUGAAGCUCUGGAACUCAACGCUGUAAAGGAGCGAAGGAGCUUCUAUACAGA